rnacentral:rRNA from 1 species
UACGGAAGGUCCGGGCGUUAUCCGGAUUUAUUGGGUUUAAAGGGAGCGUAGGCCGGCUUUUAAGUCAGCUGUGAAAGUCCGCGGCUCAACCGUGGAAUUGCAGUUGAAACUGGAGGCCUUGAGUGCACACAGGGAUGCCGGAAUUCAUGGUGUAGCGGUGAAAUGCUUAGAUAUCACACAGAACACCGAUUGCGAAGGCAUCUCACGAAUCCGCGAUUGACGCUGAUGCACGAAAGCGUGGGUAUCAAACAGG